rnacentral:rRNA from 1 species
CCAGCAGCCGCGGUAAUUCCAGCUCCAAUAGCGUAUAUUAAAGUUGUUGCGGUUAAAAAGCUCGUAGUUGGAUUUCUGCCGAGGACGACCGGUCCGCCCUCUGGGUGAGUAUCUGGCUCGGCCUGGGCAUCUUCUUGGAGAACGUAGCUGCACUUGACUGUGUGGUGCGGUAUCCAGGACUUUUACUUUGAGGAAAUUAGAGUGUUUCAAGCAGGCUUACGCCUUGAAUACAUUAGCAUGGAAUAAUAAGAUAGGACCUCGGUUCUAUUUUGUUGGUUUCUAGAGCUGAGGUAAUGAUUAAUAGGGAUAGUUGGGGGCAUUCGUAUUUAACUGUCAGAGGUGAA